rnacentral:tRNA from 1 species
GAGGGUGGAGCUCACUGGUAGAGCGCCUGCUUAGCAUGCAUGAAGUCCUGGGUUCAAUCCCCAGUACCGCCA